ACUAACCAGGCCCGAGUCUGGAUGGCUUCUGAUCUCGUCCGAUAUCAGAAGCCAUCCAGAUUCGGGCCUGGUUAGUACUUGUAUGGGAGACCAACUAGGAACCUCAGGUGCCGUAAGCU